UACAGAGGGUGCGAGCGUUAAUCGGAAUUACUGGGCGUAAAGCGCGCGUAGGCGGCUUGUUAAGUCAAAUGUGAAAUCCCCGAGCUUAACUUGGGCAUUGCAUUCGAUACUGGCAAGCUAGAGUAUGGGAGAGGAAGGUAGAAUUCCAGGUGUAGCGGUGAAAUGCGUAGAGAUCUGGAGGAAUACCGAUGGCGAAGGCCGCCUUCUGGCCUAAUACUGACGCUGAGGUGCGAAAGCCUGGGGAGCAAACAGG
rnacentral:rRNA from 1 species